UUUUACUGCUGUGAACAGAGACUGAAAGAUCCCAUGCAGAGAGAGACCCUUACUCAAGUCUCGGGAAAUUGCGGACCCCAGACACAGAGAGACCA
rnacentral:pre_miRNA from 14 species